ACUGGUAAAUGAGUCCCAUCUACUCAGGAGGCUGAGGCAAGAGGGUCGCUUGAGUCCAGCAGGUCUGGGCUGUAGUGCACAAUGCUGAUCAGGUGUCCUCACUAAGUACAGCAUCAAUAUGGUGACCUCCUGGGAACAGAGGACCACCAGGCUGCCUAAGGAAGGGUUAAGCAGCCCAGGAUGAAACAGGUCAAGACUCCCAUGCUGAUCACUAGUAGGAUCGCGCCUGUGGAUAGCCAUGGCACUCCAGCCUAGGCAACAUAGUGAGACCCCAUCCCU
rnacentral:SRP_RNA from 1 species